GCCAGGGGCGAUAGAACGUAAAGUGCAUCGUUGAAGUUAAGCAACGUUGCGCGUUGUUAGUAAUCGGAUGGGUGACCAUCUGAGCAAUAGCGUGCUGCUUGCU
rnacentral:rRNA from 1 species